UACAGAGGUCUCAAGCGUUUGUUCGGAUUCAUUGGGCGUAAAGGGUGCGUAGGCGGCGGGGCAAGUCUGAUGUGAAAUCCCGGGGUUCAACCCCGGAACUGCAUUGGAUACUGCCUCGCUAGAGUACUGGAGAGGAGACUGGAAUUUACGGUGUAGCAGUGAAAUGCGUAGAUAUCGUAAGGAAGGCCAGUGGCGAAGGCGAGUCUCUGGACAGUUACGUGACGCUGAGGCACGAAGGCCAGGGGAGCAAACGGG
rnacentral:rRNA from 1 species